GGCAAUAUCACAUUAAAAUACUGGUUCUCAUUCAAUCACUGAAGUUAAGCAACAUCGAGCCUGGUUAGUAGCUAGUUAGUGACCUCUUGGGAAUAACAGAUGCUGUAA